rnacentral:rRNA from 1 species
UACAGAGGUCUCAAGCGUUGUUCGGAUUCAUUGGGCGUAAAGGGUGCGUAGGCGGCGCGGUAAGUCGGGUGUGAAAUCUCGGAGCUUAACUCCGAAACUGCAUUCGAUACUGCCGUGCUUGAGGACUGGAGAGGAGACUGGAAUUUACGGUGUAGCGGUGAAAUGCGUAGAUAUCAGGAAGAACACCCGUGGCGAAGGCGGCUCUCUGGGACGUGACUGACGCUGAGACGCGAAAGCGUGGGGAGCGAACAGG